GACGAACGCUGGCGGCGUGCUUAACACAUGCAAGUCGAACGGUAAGGCCCUUCGGGGUACACGAGUGGCGAACGGGUGAGUAACACGUGGGUAAUCUGCCCUGCACUUUGGGAUAAGCCUGGGAAACUGGGUCUAAUACCGAAUAGGACCACGGGAGGCAUGUCCUGUGGUGGAAAGCUUUUGCGGUGUGGGAUGGGCCCGCGGCCUAUCAGCUUGUUGGUGGGGUGAUGGCCUACCAAGGCGACGACGGGUAGCCGGCCUGAGAGGGUGUCCGGCCACACUGGGACUGAGAUACGGCCCAGACUCCUACGGGAGGCAGCAGUGGGGAAUAUUGCACAAUGGGCGCAAGCCUGAUGCAGCGACGCCGCGUGGGGGAUGACGGCCUUCGGGUUGUAAACCUCUUUCACCAUUGACGAAGGUCCGGGUCUUCUCGGAUUGACGGUAGGUGGAGAAGAAGCACCGGCCAACUACGUGCCAGCAGCCGCGGUAAUACGUAGGGUGCGAGCGUUGUCCGGAAUUACUGGGCGUAAAGAGCUCGUAGGUGGUUUGUCGCGUUGUUCGUGAAAUCUCACGGCUUAACUGUGAGCGUGCGGGCGAUACGGGCAGACUGGAGUACUGCAGGGGAGACUGGAAUUCCUGGUGUAGCGGUGGAAUGCGCAGAUAUCAGGAGGAACACCGGUGGCGAAGGCGGGUCUCUGGGCAGUAACUGACGCUGAGGAGCGAAAGCGUGGGGAGCGAACAGGAUUAGAUACCCUGGUAGUCCACGCCGUAAACGGUGGGUACUAGGUGUGGGUUUCCUUCCUUGGGAUCCGUGCCGUAGCUAACGCAUUAAGUACCCCGCCUGGGGAGUACGGCCGCAAGGCUAAAACUCAAAGAAAUUGACGGGGGCCCGCACAAGCGGCGGAGCAUGUGGAUUAAUUCGAUGCAACGCGAAGAACCUUACCUGGGUUUGACAUGCACAGGACGCCGGCAGAGAUGUCGGUUCCCUUGUGGCCUGUGUGCAGGUGGUGCAUGGCUGUCGUCAGCUCGUGUCGUGAGAUGUUGGGUUAAGUCCCGCAACGAGCGCAACCCUUGUCUCAUGUUGCCAGCGGGUAAUGCCGGGGACUCGUGAGAGACUGCCGGGGUCAACUCGGAGGAAGGUGGGGAUGACGUCAAGUCAUCAUGCCCCUUAUGUCCAGGGCUUCACACAUGCUACAAUGGCCGGUACAAAGGGCUGCGAUGCCGCGAGGCUUAGCGAAUCCUUUUAAAGCCGGUCUCAGUUCGGAUCGGGGUCUGCAACUCGACCCCGUGAAGUCGGAGUCGCUAGUAAUCGCAGAUCAGCAACGCUGCGGUGAAUACGUUCCCGGGCCUUGUACACACCGCCCGUCACGUCAUGAAAGUCGGUAACACCCGAAGCCAGUGGCCUAACCCUUUGGGAGGGAGCUGUCGAAGGUGGGAUCGGCGAUUGGGACGAAGUCGUAACAAGGUAGCCGUACCGGAAGGUGCGGCUGGAUCACCUCCUU
rnacentral:rRNA from 1 species